rnacentral:rRNA from 1 species
GCUCCUAGUACGAGAGGACCGGAGUGGACGAACCUCUGGUGUUCGGGUUGUGUCGCCAGACGCAUUGCCCGGUAGCUAAGUUCGGAAUUGAUAAGCGCUGAAAGCAUCUAAGCGCGAAGCGAGCCCUGAGAUGAGUCUUCCCUGACAGUUUAACUGUCCUAAAGGGUUGUUCGAGACUAGAACGUUGAUAGGCAGGGUGUGUAAGCGUUGUGAGGCGUUGAGCUAACCUGUACUAAUUGCCCGUGAGGCUUAACCAUACAACACCCAAGGGGUUUUGUA